GCCGGGGUGCCCGAGUGGACUAAGGGGACUGCCUGCAAAGCAGUGAUUCACGGGUUCAAAUCCCGUCUCCGGCU
rnacentral:tRNA from 1 species